ACAUGCCUACAACUUAGCAUUAAUGCACCAGAUCCCAUUAUAAAUCCAUAUUUAAGUGCGCUCGGGCUAGAUUAGUACUUAGAUGGGUGACCGCCCGAGAAGUCCUAGUAUUUUACAUGCC
rnacentral:rRNA from 1 species